CCAAUAGCGUAUAUUAAAGUUGUUGCAGUUAAAAAGCUCGUAGUUGAAUUUUAGGCCUGGCCGGAUGGUCCGUCUUUGGCGAGUACUGUUCUGUCGUCGGGUCUAUCCUUCUGGUGAGCCGGUAUGCCCUUUAUUGGGUGUGUCGGGGAACCAGGACCAUUACCUUGAAAAAAUUAGCGUGUUUAAAGCGGGCAUUUGCUUGAAUCGAUUAGCAUGGAAUAAUAGAAUAGGACGUUGGUUCUAUUUUGUUGGUUUUAGGACCACCGUAAUGAUUAAUAGGGAUAGUUGGGGGCAUUAGUAUUCAAUUGUCAGAGGUGAAAUUCUUGGAUUUAUUGAAGACUAACUAUUGCGAAAGCAUUUGCCAAGGAUGUUUUCAUUAAUCAAGAACGAAAGUUAGGGGAUCGAAGACGAUCAGAUACCGUCGUAGUCUUAACCAUAAACUAUGCCGACUAGGAAUCGGGCGACGUUAUUUCAUGACUCGCUCGGCGCCUUAUG
rnacentral:rRNA from 1 species